rnacentral:rRNA from 1 species
CUGGGGCUGUAGUCGGUCCCAAGGGUUGGGCUGUUCGCCCAUUAAAGCGGUACGCGAGCUGGGUUCAGAACGUCGUGAGACAGUUCGGUCCCUAUCCGUCGUGGGCGUAGGAAAUUUGAGAGGAGCUGUCCUUAGUACGAGAGGACCGGGAUGGACGCACCGCUGGUGUACCAGUUGUUCUGCCAAGGGCAUAGCUGGGUAGCUAUGUGCGGAAGGGAUAAGUGCUGAAAGCAUCUAAGCAUGAAGCCCCCCUCAAGAUGAGAUUUCCCAUAGCGUAAGCUAGUAAGAUCCCUGAAAGAUGAUCAGGUUGAUAGGUUCGAGGUGGAAGCAUGGUGACAUGUGGAGCUGACGAAUACUAAUAGAUCGAGGACUUAACCAU